rfam:Oryza sativa Japonica Group DNA, chromosome 9, cultivar: Nipponbare, complete sequence.
AAUAAAUGUAGUUUUGCACUAGUCACAUUCAACGUUUGACCGUUCGUCUUAUUUGAAAUUUUUUUAUGAUUAGUAUUUUUAUUGCUAUUAGAUGAUAAAACAUGAAUAGUACUUUAUGUGUGACUAAAUAUUUUUAAUUUUUUCACAAAUUUUUUAAAUAAGACGGACGGUCAAACGUUGGCCACGGAUAUCCACGCGUGGCUGCACUUAUU